rnacentral:rRNA from 1 species
GAUGAACGCUAGCUACAGGCUUAACACAUGCAAGUCGCGGGGCAGCAUGGGGGUUGCUUGCAAUCCCCGAUGGCGACCGGCGCACGGGUGAGUAACGCGUAUCCAACCUGCCCUUCACCACGGGCUAACCCGGCGAAAGUCGGACUAAUACCGUAUGUUGUCCAUUGACGGCAUCCGAUUUGGACGAAAGGUUUGGCGGUGAAGGAUGGGGAUGCGUCCGAUUAGCUGGACGGCGGGGUGACGGCCCACCGUGGCGACGAUCGGUAGGGGUUCUGAGAGGAAGGUCCCCCACACUGGAACUGAGACACGGUCUAGACUCCUACGGGAGGCAGCAGUGAGGAAUAUUGGUCAAUGGGCGUAAGCCUGAACCAGCCAAGUAGCGUGCAGGAUGACGGCCCUAUGGGUUGUAAACUGCUUUUAUGCGGGGAUAAAGUGGCCCACGUGUGGGUUUUUGCAGGUACCGCAUGAAUAAGGACCGGCUAAUUCCGUG